GAGCUACCUGUAUUAAAGGAAGACCUUGGGCGCUCUUCCUUCAUGCUCAGAUCGGGGAGUUGGGCAUUGCGAGGGAAAUAGCUCGCCACACUGCUGUUUAGAUUGGACAAAGAUCUAGUUCAGGUGGCGGUGUAGAAUCCAAAAACCGGGAGCUUCCAGAAAUGGUUGCUGAAAAACAAGAGUUGAAUGUACCGGAGGGAGCAAGCACAAGAAUCUGAAAAACCGCAGGCAUACCGAGUUGCCUACCGACCAAAGUGAGGACCGGUUAUGUCCUGACCAGAGUGAUAAACAAGUUUGUAAAGUUAUUCCUUGUGACACAAUUCAAGAUAAUUUGCUGCCGAUUACCAU